rnacentral:lncRNA from 1 species
GUUGUCAUAAUGAGGUGGCAAUUGUUGCUGUGAUGCUGAAAGCUAUGCCACUGGUAUUUCAAAUACCAGCAGAGGCACCCAUGUUGGAUAGGUUUCAGUGGAGCUUCCAGACUAAGACAGACGAGGAAGAAGGACCUGGCUACCCACUUCUGAAAAAAUUGGCCAUGAAAAUCCUAAGAAUACCAGUGAAGUAUUGUCUGACACAGUGCAAGAAGUUUAUACGUGGGACGCCUACCACAGCAUGGCUGCCAAGCAGUGCCAUGUCCGCACCCGGGAUCCGAACCAGCGAAGCCCGGGCCGCCGAGAAGCGGAACGUGCGAACUUAACCGCUGCGCCACCGGGCCGGCCCCACAUGGAGAGGCAGAAGGAUUAAGAAUCUCAUUAAAGGUUUUGGAGCUAAUAAGUGGCAGAGCUGAAAUUUGAACUCAGGGAAUUUCACAAAAUAAGCUUGGCUUCUUAACUACUAAGCUGUACUAUACAGAUUCUUAAUUUCUCAUUACACUCUCCCCAUGUGGACUGUGUACCAUGUACCAUUUGGAGUUGGAAACUGCCAUAAGCAAGUUGUAGGGGGAAUGGAAGGUUAGGCUGGAAAAGAAGCGGUUGACUCCACCCCACUGCCUGCACACUUUCCAUCCGCAGCAGACACAGGUAAAGGAGAGUCUUGACACAGAGCAUGAAGAAGUUAAAAAAUCUUCCCUGGGCUAGAAGAAGAGAACAAAAACUUUGAGAUAAGCUUUGCUAACUGCAGUUGUGCAUAUUCAGCAUAAUCAACUCUUGUUCAAAACUAACCAGGUCUUUCUGUCCCCAUUUAGCAGAUGAGUGAGCUGUCUUUCCCAGGAAGUCAAGGUCCAGACAUCAAGAUUCAGUCUCACAUGGCCAAAUGCAGGCUGAAGAUGAAAACUAACUAGAAAAGUCCAGACAUUCGAGGAGAAAAAAAUUCAGUCUUCAAGGCCAAACACAGGCUGGUGGGAAGGUGCCAACAAGCAAGGCCACAGGCUCCUCCUCCCCUACCUAGAACCCCAGCACAUGUUCCCCCACCCCAACCUCAAACCCCAGAUAAAAUCCCCUACCUUUUUCCCUUUGAGGAGGUGGAUCUGUAUCCUAAUUCUCAUCUCCUUGUGGUUGCCUUUUGAUAAUAGUAAACCUCUUUCCUUGCCA